rnacentral:tRNA from 1 species
GGAGAUAUAGCUCAGUUGGUAGAGCAGUAGACUGUUAAUCUAUUGGUGGAGAGUUCAAAUCUCUCUAUCUCCGCCA